CCUUCAUCUUGGACUUUCAGCCUCCAGAACUCUCUUCAUGCCUGCCUUGUGUGACCUGGGGAUGAAAGAGUGCCCACUCAACUCACUCUACGCUCCUUGGUCAGAAUUUGAAUAUGAUAAAUCUUUUCCAUUCAAAUUAUGAGGACUUCAGUGCCAUAUUUGGAAAAAAAUUCAGGUUCCAUUUUUACCCAAUUCUGAAGAGGCUGACCCAGAAGACUUCUCAGUGAAAGGGAAUGCCAAGUAUUUCCUCCUUGUGCCUAGUCCUCAAUCUCUCCUUCACAUUUAUAUCUUUCCAGUCUGAAUUCCAACCCUUCAUUCUUCUAGUCAGUCUACUUGUUCUGGAAGUCAUCCAGUGUCUUCCCUCCCUUGUCUACUUUGUUGAAGAGAAGCAUAACUUGAAGUUAUUUGUUAAGGCUAUGAAUGAAUUUGUAAGUAAUGUACUAUGACACGGCAUAGAGAAAAACUCAUUAAAUAUGACACAUUAUGUCAUAUAUAGUUAGGAAAUAACCAGACUUUGACUUGACCAAGAAACAUAUAGCUUGACUAAGGUACUAUUUUUCUCAUGCUCAGUAAAUUUAACAAUUGUAAAUUAUUGCCAGUGAAACAAUUAAUUAAUUUGGUCAAAACACCAUAGUCGUCUGAUGCCUGACCCUUGGGCAGUUAGGAUAAUGGUAGGUAUCUCAUGAGGGGCGUUUGGGCUUGAGAUUAGUUCAGAUAUCAAAGGCAUGCUCCAGGGAUACUUCUUUGGUAUCUCUAGGAAUUAGCUAGCCUUGGUCUCAAGGCCCCAGAUGUCAACACAUCAGAUACAGAAACUAUUUAAUAGAAAACAUGGAUAAUGCAGUUGGCAAACUGCAAUUAUCUCUUUUUACACAUUUGCAGGCAAAGCAAUUUAUAUACAGAUGAAGUUGUUGAAAAUCUCCCCUGAUGAAGGUUUCUAGCAGCAACUAUUCAUUUGAGUUAAGCAUUGAUCUCCAAGUUGAAAUAUUUAGAAAUCGGAAAUAUUCUAUUAAAAUUUAACUUAUCCAAGACUAAUACCUUUGUGCUAGUUAUUUAGUUACAGCUAGUUUUCUUUGUGAUUUCAAGAGUGUAGCUGAAACAGAGCUACUCAAGAAGGUUGAUGAUGAAGAAAGAACCAGAGUGGAGAUACUGAAGUCAUAUUUGGUCCUUUCACUAUUCUUUAGAAAGUGUGCCUUCUUUUUAGAAGUGGUUUUAUGCUGUGACGUUAAUCGUGGAACUUGCCUCCUGCUGACAAUGAACACUAUGUUCAUUGAAAAUAAGUGCUUUUUACUUCUUGGUAGCAGUCAUACUUUAUUCAGGGUUGCAUUUUCAGUGCAUUUGCACAAUGACUGGCGUACAUUUGGUGCACAGUAAGUCUUUUUGACUGAAUAAUUACAAAUAUGCAAAUAAUAUAUAUGAGACUCAUAUGUCUGUUCUCUAACACUUCGCUAAGCAGUUUCUUUACUAAUUGUCCAGUCUACUAGUAUUUCUCAUGUGAAAUCUCCUAGUUUCCAUACUCUUACAGUUCGUUCUAAGUCAGAGAGUAGGGAAUAGUGUGACUAUUAUAGUAUCUGUGAAUUUGAGCACUAACAGAGAGUACUGAUGUAGCACUAUUUGACUCAGUUUACAAUUAUUUUUCUUAUGUAAUAGAGCUAUGAUAAACAGAACAAUAAAAAAUAUUAACUUUGUAAUACACCAAAUAACAGUAUGAAGUGUAAAAGAGCAAUUAGAUAUACAAGCAAAGAAAUGAAGAGUGAAAAGAAUGCACUCAGUUUCACUUAUGAAGCAUUAUUCUCAUUAUGCUUUUAUCUAAAUUUACAAAAAAAAGAUAGCUGCAGAAAUUUGAUGUGAUAUAGUGAGCUUUUACUCAGGUUUUUAGUUCCCCAAAGUUCAUAGACAAAUAGACUUAAACCUUUUAGAGAUUCAAGUGGGAAUGAGUAAGAGCAGAAAAUUGUGACAGUUGGAGAAUGAGCAAGUGAGGUAGAACUUUUUCUCCUGUAUUUCCACCUGUUUUCAGUUUUGGUCUGUCUCUGGGUUGUGAGCAGAGAUCUAUGAAAUAAAGAGAUGGCAGAAAAACAAUGGAAAUAUUGUCACUUGGACUCAGUAUUAACAAAUUGUGAGCUUUGUGCCUUUUGUCUUUGUUUUCUCCAUUUAAAAAAUUAUGGAACUGCAUGAAAUGCUCUCUAGUGUCCUUCAUGGCUUGACCAGCCUAUGAUUCUGCUGUUGGUUAGGUAAGUUCGUCCUGAAAAUGAAUAGACUCAUAAAACAGUAAGGAAAAAGGGUAACGUUUCCAUAUGACACUGUGAAAUGCCUGUCUAGACUAUGAAGCCAAACUGAAAAACAGUUCAAAAAUUGUACCUUAAGAUUUUAAGAAAAGGAAGGGAAAAGGAGUGUGUACUGAGUGCAAAGCUUCAGUUGCAAAAUUUUUUAAAUCUUCAAGUAUGGUAUGCAUUACCUACUAAAUUAUAAUUGUCUACAAAAAGAAAUUUGAGAUGAGCAAAUGAAAUACUUGUAUUUAUAAUACUGAAUAAUAAUAUAAGCACAAAAACAUUUUACUAUUCAGGAUUUAGAAUUUAGGAUCCAAUAAUUGAAGAUGAAAAAUUCUUGGGUCUUCUUGUAGGCAAGCAGAUUAUUUAGGCCUAACUUCUCUUGUUUCAUGAACAAGUACCUGAAAAUUUAGAGAAAAAUAAAUUGUUUCAACCUGUUUUUUUACUAGAAGGCCCCCCCUCCCCACAAAUACAGAAUCAGAAUUGCCAUAAAUUUCUAAACUGGUGAAAUUCCAAUUAGUGCUCUGUUUUAUUUUUCACUAUGCAGGUUCUGAAUGAUAAAUUUUUCUGAGCUUAGGCCUAAUAUUUGAAAAAAUCUGCCAUAAUAAGCAGUCCAAUACGUGCCAGAAACUUACAAGGAAAAUAAUGAAGUCAAUGAAGUGAAAAAGAAAAAUGAAUUAAUAGAAAAUAGGAGAUACAUAAUGCAUCAAAACAUUCCCAUAUAGAAAUGAAUCAUAUAUUACCUUGUCACAUUUAAGCUGUUGUAAAUAUUUUUUAAGGAGCUCUCCCCUAGAAUUUUUAUAGAAACUUAUAUUCUCUAUAAAAAAAGAACACAACGGAGCAUAAGAGACAUAAUUUUAUGUUUAUCUCUGUCUUUGUCCUUACUUAAAUCACAGUCAAAAGAGAAGUAGCAGAGAAAAACCUCCUAAGAUGCAGAAGGCCUACAGUUGGAAGCUAGGGAAAACAGCAGGAAUAAAUACUGCAAAAAUAUAAUUAAAAAAUAAAUGUAAGAAUUCAUACUGUUAAGAACUCAAAGGAAUUUCUGGAAAGCAAGAUUGAGAGCUUGUUACUACUGCAGUGGGGUUUGAUAUUUUGGUGACUUUCAAUUCAGUGUUGCAUGCUAGCAACAAUGGCACCAGCAGCUGAUGUGUUUGGUCCUCUGGUUGUUGGUAAUCCAUACUUCUUUUCCUGGAAGAAAAAGCACUGGAUACUGGGAAAGCUUAACAGUGUCCAAUAUCUUCUGAAGAUAGUUUGAUUUGUCAAGCAGUUAUGUGGACAUUAAAAGAGAAUGUUAAUGCUCACUGUUCCAGUUUCAUUCUGAAGAAACAAAGACAAACUCUGGGCUAGACAGGGGAACUUUGCAAGGGUUCUCUCAUUUAUUGAUGUCAACAAUGGUAUGAUACAGACUUUAUUAUUGCCAUUUUAUGGAUAAGAAAAUUAAAACUUGGUGAGGUUAAAUAGCUUAUCUGAUGCAAAUGCUAUAGUUGGAUCUGAACCCAGUGAAAUUAUUCCAGAGCCCCGACAUACUAUUCUGUGUCAAAUGCUGUGAAAAAAAAAAAAAUGCACUGGACAUUUGUUAAAAAUGGCAUGGAAGCUUUGUUUAAGACUAUUGUAGUAAAGCUUAAGACUCUUGCAAUAAGGGAGAACGAUUGAAUUCAGCUCUAAAUACAAUAGGGACAAGUAAGGAUUUAUAGCCAAUGGUUAGAAUGAGAGAGUGGAUGGAAAAAAUUACUAAUAGGAGCUUGGUUAAGUAUCAGGGGUUGGGGAGGAGAGGAACUUAAUUAGGCAUCAAGGUGAAGGAAUGAGCUUGACUGGAAUAUUAAGAGUAGGGGAGAUGACUGAUAAACUAUUUUAGCAGGAUUCUUUGCUGAAGCUGAGCUCAGCAGGUGAGGAAGAGGAACAAGGAUGAGGCCCAGUGUUAGGGGGGUGGUGGAAAACUUCAAGGAGCUUGGUUUGGUCAAGGAGAUGAGUUUUCAUCAAUAUUAGAGUUCAGAAUAGAAAAAACACAAAUAUAUAAUUGUGAAGUUAUUUUGGAUUUGUUAAAUUUGUACUUUCUGGUGUAUGAUAAUAGGCUUUAGAAAACUCUGGGUCCUCAUUCCCCAGUGGUCCUUCUUGUCCUGAUAAAUUACUCAUAAUCACAGGAACCCCUGAUAUGCCAGUACUCAUUUUGAUAUGUGAGGGGGAUUUAAGAAGAAAUAAUGUGAAAAUGUUCUAUUUUUUUCAUUGCAUAGUUUAAUAUUUUUUUCAUUUAGGUACAACCUACUUCUCUGGAUUUUGUGUCUCUUUCACACUUUCCACUCUCCUCCCCAUGUAACUCAAUCUGUUUUUAGGUUUUCAUUUUCAAAACAGACUAAAAAGAAAACUUACUCUGGUUUCUUUCAAUGUAGAGUCAUAUUUUCAACUUUAUUUUUUCUCUUAAUUAGGUUGUUAAAAUGUUUAGUUCCCCUGCUUUCCUAAAAUACAAGUGCUAUAGCAAAAGAUAAACAUAUUCAACUAUUUUAGGAUAUAUACAACCUUAAGUUAUCUGUGAAAGCCAGAGUCCUGGAGACAUUAGUAUGCAAAAGCAUGCACCUGAGACUAUUUGGUUUCCAAAGCUCCUUCAUAACAUCCAGUCCUCAAACAACAAACAUUCUUUUGCUAUUGAAACUGGUUCAGAACAGAACAGAAAGAACAAGGCCUGCUGGUUGAAGCAUUGGAGGUAAGCCGACCAUUUGCUUCACAAAGCAAAGCUUCACCCUACCUCUCCAAGGCGCUUUCAUCUGAAAACUGGGUUUGGAACCAAAUAGAAACAAACACUCUCCAGUGGGAUUCAUCACUUCCUGAUUUCAGAUGGGCACAAACAGUAGACACUUGUAUUUUCCUGCUAUUCACAUUUUCAGUCAGUUCUGAAACUGAAGGUGUGCUUAAAUAAUGAUGGCCUGUACACAUUGCCUUUUCUCCAACUGGGGAUUCAGAUUCAUACUUUCCCAGAGAAAGGUGAAACUGCUUUUCAGGUCAGCUCGCUUAAAGAUGGCACAAAAUAAUAUUUGUAAAAAGUUCUUUAUAAUGAGACAGAUAAUUGGAAGCAUACAGUCUCUGUUGCUACUUAAAAAUGCCUUGUAAUUAUUUUUCUUGAUUUUUAGAAGCUGUGGAUUUCUGUUUUGAGGCCAGCGAGUAGGGAGGAGAGCGCUUUGGUGGUCCAGAUGCUAUUAAAAUCAGAUAAUUUAGUCCAUGUGACUUUUAACAAGCCAUUUGUUUCCCAUAUUCUCAUUUGUGUGUAAUUAGCAAAGACUGCAAUGCUUUACACCUAUACACACAAGUAGUUUGAAUGCAGUGCUAAUCAUCAGUGUGACACUUUCAUCUCUGUUACCUUUUAAGAAUGGUCAGUCUCUUUUGAAAUGGAAAUAAAAAAUACAAACUAAAACUAAAGCCAUGGAAAAGUA